GAGUCGUAGUCCCUUUGAUCAAAUGUGUACAUAUAUACACACACUUGGGGUGAGGUGGGUUAUGUGUGUGUAUAUAUGUACACAUUUGAUCAAGGGGACUACGACUC